rnacentral:rRNA from 1 species
UGGGGAAUUUUGGACAAUGGGGGCAACCCUGAUCCAGCAAUGCCGCGUGUGUGAAGAAGGCCUGCGGGUUGUAAAGCACUUUAGGUGGGGAGGAAAAGCAACGUUUUAAUAAAGCGUUGUGAUGACAUUACCCACAGAAUAAGCACCGGCUAACUCUGUGCCAGCAGCCGCGGUAAUACAGAGGGUGCAAGCGUUAAUCGGAAUUACUGGGCGUAAAGCGCAUGAAGGUGGUUAGAUAAGUUUGAUGUGAAAGCCCUGGGCUUAACCUGGGAAUGGCAUUGGAAACUGUGUAACUAGAGUCGGAGAGAGGGCAGUGGAAUUUCCGGUGUAGCGGUGAAAUGCGUAGAGAUCGGAAAGAACAUCAGUGGCGAAGGCGUCUGCCUGGUUCCAGACUGACACU